rnacentral:rRNA from 1 species
AAUAGAUACCCGGGUAGCCCACCCCGUAAACGUUGGGAACUAGUUGUGGGGUCCAUUCCACGGAUUCCGUGACGCAGCUAACGCAUUAAGUUCCCCGCCUGGGGAGUACGGCCGCAAGGCUAAAACUCAAAGGAAUUGACGGGGACCCGCACAAGCGGCGGAGCAUGCGGAUUAAUUCGAUGCAACGCGAAGAACCUUACCAAGGCUUGACAUACACGAGAACACCCUGGAAACAGGGGACUCUUUGGACACUCGUGAACAGGUGGUGCAUGGUUGUCGUCAGCUCGUGUCGUGAGAUGUUGGGUUAAGUCCCGCAACGAGCGCAACCCUCGUUCUAUGUUGCCAGCACGUAAUGGUGGGAACUCAUGGGAUACUGCCGGGGUCAACUCGGAGGAAGGUGGGGAUGACGUCAAAUCAUCAUGCCCCUUAUGUCUUGGGCUUCACGCAUGCUACAAUGGCCGGUACAAAGGGCUGCAAUACCGUGAGGUGGAGCGAAUCCCAAAAAGCCGGUCCCAGUUCGGAUUGAGGUCUGCAACUCGACCUC